GACGAACGCUGGCGGCGUGCUUAACACAUGCAAGUCGAGCGAUGAAGUUCCUUCGGGAAUGGAUUAGCGGCGGACGGGUGAGUAACACGUGGGUAACCUGCCUCAUAGAAGGGAAUAGCCUUUCGAAAGGAAGAUUAAUACCGCAUAAGAUUGUAGCUUCGCAUGAAGCAGCAAUUAAAGGAGUAAUCCGCUAUGAGAUGGACCCGCGUCGCAUUAGCUAGUUGGUGAGGUAACGGCUCACCAAGGCGACGAUGCGUAGCCGACCUGAGAGGGUGAUCGGCCACAUUGGGACUGAGACACGGCCCAGACUCCUACGGGAGGCAGCAGUGGGGAAUAUUGCACAAUGGGGGAAACCCUGAUGCAGCAACGCCGCGUGAGUGAUGACGGUCUUCGGAUUGUAAAACUCUGUCUUCAGGGACGAUAAUGACGGUACCUGAGGAGGAAGCCACGGCUAACUACGUGCCAGCAGCCGCGGUAAGAC
rnacentral:rRNA from 1 species